AGUGGCGGACGGGUGAGUAACGCGUAAGAAUCUAACUUCAGGACGGGGACAACAGUGGGAAACGACUGCUAAUACCCGAUGUGCCGCGAGGUGAAACCUAAUUGGCCUGAAGAAGAGCUUGCGUCUGAUUAGCUAGUUGGUGGGGUAAGAGCCUACCAAGGCGACGAUCAGUAGCUGGUCUGAGAGGAUGAGCAGCCACACUGGGACUGAGACACGGCCCAGACUCCUACGGGAGGCAGCAGUGGGGAAUUUUCCGCAAUGGGCGAAAGCCUGACGGAGCAACGCCGCGUGAGGGAGGAAGGUCUUUGGAUUGUAAACCUCUUUUCUCAAGGAAGAAGUUCUGACGGUACUUGAGGAAUCAGCCUCGGCUAACUCCGUGCCAGCAGCCGCGGUAAUACGGGGGAGGCAGGCGUUAUCCGGAAUUAUUGGGCGUAAAGCGUCCGCAGGUGGUCAGCCAAGUCUGCCGUCAAAUCAGGUUGCUUAACGACCUAAAGGCGGUGGAAACUGGCAGACUAGAGAGCAGUAGGGGUAGCAGGAAUUCCCAGUGUAGCGGUGAAAUGCGUAGAGAUUGGGAAGAACAUCGGUGGCGAAAGCGUGCUACUGGGCUGUAUCUGACACUCAGGGACGAAAGCUAGGGGAGCGAAAGGGAUUAGAUACCCCUGUAGUCCUAGCCGUAAGCGAUGGAUACUAGGCGUGGCUU
rnacentral:rRNA from 1 species